GGCAGCAACAGGGCCCUCCUCAGCCUUGCUCCCUCUGUAGUUCAUGAAUUUGCUUUUCAAGUUUCUGCAAGGACUCGAGAUGAAUCACCUUGUAAAAAUCUGGAUCAACCAUAUCUAGAAGUGAAGAAGAAUGAACGAGUAAGGAGGGACCUAUUUGUAAAGGAUUGAAUUUGAAUGGGUUAGUCAAAAAGCCAGGACUGUUCACCUCUUUUUAAAUAAAA
rnacentral:lncRNA from 1 species